rnacentral:rRNA from 1 species
ACCCGAAGCCGCCCGGCCAACCCGCAAGGGAAGUAAGCGUCUAAGGUCUGGACAGUGACUGGGGUGAAGUCGUAACAAGGUAGCAGUAGGUGAACCUGCAGAAGGAUCA